rnacentral:rRNA from 1 species
GAUGAACGCUGGCGGCGUGCCUAAUACAUGCAAGUCGAGCGAACGGACGAGAAGCUUGCUUUUCUGAUGUUAGCGGCGGACGGGUGAGUAACACGUGGAUAACCUACCUAUAAGACUGGGAUAACUUCGGGAAACCGGAGCUAAUACCGGAUAAUAUUUUGAACCGCAUGGUUCAAAAGUGAAAGACGGUCUUGCUGUCACUUAUAGAUGGAUCCGCGCUGCAUUAGCUAGUUGGUAAGGUAACGGCUUACCAAGGCAACGAUGCAUAGCCGACCUGAGAGGGUGAUCGGCCACACUGGAACUGAGACACGGUCCAGACUCCUACGGGAGGCAGCAGUAGGGAAUCUUCCGCAAUGGGCGAAAGCCUGACGGAGCAACGCCGCGUGAGUGAUGAAGGUCUUCGGAUCGUAAAACUCUGUUAUUAGGGAAGAACAUAUGUGCAAGUAACUGUGCACAUCUUGACAGUACCUAAUCAGAAAGCCACGGCUAACUACGUG